CUCUCCCUUGUUCUUACCUGAACUAGACUGGAAGAGUGAGUAUUUGAAUUUUUCAGUCUAUAGCCAAAGUGGACACAGGAGAAUCAGACUCUGUAAAAGAAGAAAGUGUUGGCCCCGCAGUCUCUUGAUCCACAUAUGCUUACGAACUCACAAACUGCGAGAUCAGGACCUGAGCUGAAGUCGACGCUUAACCGACUGAGCCACCCAGUUGCAGGAGAAUAAUCAAUCCCGGGACCUAAACCCAGAAGCCAGACUCUGGAGGAUAGGAAUAAUCAUCUAAUGGAACACUUUGACUAGCUUCUUCAAUCUGAGCAUUCUGGCAAGUUUUGGUGGA